rnacentral:rRNA from 1 species
UACAGAGGGGGCCAGCGUUAUUCGGAAUUAUUGGGCGUAAAGCGCGCGUAGGCGGUAACUCAAGUCGGAUGUGAAAGCCCUUGGCUUAACCGAGGAAGUGCAUCCGAAACUGAGUCGCUAGAGUUUGGAAGAGGGUCGCGGAAUUCCCGGUGUAGAGGUGAAAUUCGUAGAUAUCAGGAAGAACACCCGUGGCGAAAGCGGCUCUCUGGAACGGUACUGACGCUGAGACGCGAAAGCGUGGGGAGCGAACAGG